GACGAACGCUGGCGGCGUGCUUAACACAUGCAAGUCGAGCGGUAAGGCCCUUUCGGGGGUACACGAGCGGCGAACGGGUGAGUAACACGUGGGUGACCUGCCCUCAGCUCUGGGAUAAGCCUGGGAAACCGGGUCUAAUACUGGAUAUGACUCCAUGACGCAUGUUGUGAGGUGGAAAGCCUUGUGCGGCUGAGGAUGGGCCCGCGGCCUAUCAGCUUGUUGGUGGGGNGAUGGCCUACCAAGGCGACGACGGGUAGCCGGCCUGAGAGGGCGACCGGCCACACUGGGACUGAGACACGGCCCAGACUCCUACGGGAGGCAGCAGUGGGGAAUCUUGCGCAAUGGGCGAAAGCCUGACGCAGCGACGCCGCGUGAGGGAUGACGGCC
rnacentral:rRNA from 1 species